CACAGGUUUUCCACAAUAAGCAGGCCACUCCUCCUUCCAUCUCCAAUGGGCUUUGGGAAAGGUAUAAAAGCGCCACAACCAUCUUCUGCGUCAGGACCAGUUGAAGUGCAAUAUUGAAGCCUGUACUGUACGAUUCAGGAUCCAGACUCUAACCUCAAGGCAUGUUGACCAGGAAUUUUCUCAUCCUCUGCUCUCUGGCAGUUCUGCUAGUACAAGCUGACUUCGAUACUAAUAACAAUCAUGCUGCCCAAGCCAUGUCCACAGAUAAGGACUCAACCUCGGAGGAAGCUCCAACUGAGAGCAUAAAUGCCAUCUCCUCGGAUCAGCCUAACGAUAAACCACAGUAUUACAAUGAGGGAUUGCUGAUGUAAGCAGCACAAGUGAAGAGCUCCUAAACCUAAUGGCGUCACUGGACCUGGUGUUGCAGCAAACAGUGUUGAGGACCAGGAGGAGGAUGAAAGCUCAGAUGAAGGUCUGAAAAAAAAUUAUGUUCCUCCUCCUCCUCCUCCUACGCCUCCUCCUCCUCCUCCUCCUACUCCUGCUCCACAACAAAACUCAGGAAAGUUAGUUGGGCCAGCAGGUGGGAACCGGAGAAAGGCCCCAGCCCCACAACAAAAGAGGAGAUCACGACCCUCCCGCCGUCAGCAGUGAAAUGCCAAAAAGACACACAGAGGCAAACAUUUACUUUUAGUUAAUUGCAUAGAAGAAGAAACAUAUUGUAUCCAAUUACUGUAUAUGCCAUAACAUGAACGUGUACAGAACCGUACUCGCAUGAUGAAGCUGCUUUGAUGUAUCUUGAGCAGCAGAACAGUCAGCAAGACAUGACAUAUUGUUUACUGUUACGUCUGUGGAAAAACUCAGUGGUAUGUUCAAUACAAACUCAUGGGCAUUUCUCUGUGAAUAAAAUGUAGGAUUAAAUGAACAAUGUAUUGUGAUGACAUAAAACCAGGCCUAAUAUCAUAACUGACCUUGACAUUAAGAGCCGCUGAAACUGCUCUAAAUUCACCAACCUGUUUCAAAAUAGCAAGGACCUCACUCCCAUGAAAAUACCUCAAUUUCUAAAAGAGCGCACACAUCGCACCAAAUGUCGAUCGCCGUUCGUUCGGCGUGGUGUGUUUUAUGGACCACUUGCCGGUGGGCGUCUGACUGCCAACAUUUUCGCGUGGUUUGCACUCGGUUUGCAAAUUACAGCUGGCACUCUGUUCAGAGGUGCUAAGUACUCUCGGCUGGCAAACGCUACCGGUGUGUCAGUGCCUUUAGAGAGACUCUUGCUAUUUUGAUCAUGAGCCAGUUGGUGGAAAUAUGGAGUUACAAACUAGCAAUACAAACUGUUGUUAGCUAAAGUGAAAAGACUAGAUAUUCUUUACAGAAAAAGGCUAAAGAAACCCCAUAAUUUCUCUCAGAGUUGAGGAGGAUACCUUUGACUGAUGCUGCCUACCCAAAGACUGUUAUACUGUCCUCAGUCAGCAUAUCUUUUAGUGGAUAGCCUUUCAAAACAACCCUGCUCUCGAACACAAAACCAGUGUUUCAAUCAAAAGUGUUUCUUUCUUUUUUGUUAUUGUCAUUUUUAUACACACAGUAUUCAACACAUUAUGUAUGAAACAUGUUUGAUGAAUAUCAAUUUCAAAACAUGUUUAAGUGUAAACCUCUGUAUCUUACAUCAUAUCUUUCUAAAUAAACUUCUUUGAGC
rnacentral:lncRNA from 1 species